ensembl:lncRNA
GGAAAGGGAUUCGUCUACAACUCGAUAACUAGAACUCGAAUAUAAAUAAAGGUGUGGUUUUACCUGCGGUGCUACACCGUGCUUCAAACCUACAUCUGAGUGAGUGUAGCAUUUAGGAAUAAAAAGCUCCAAUAAUAAUGGCUCGUAUAAAUGAACAUGGUGGUGCGUGCAGUGUCUGCUCUGUCAUUCUUAAAAUGAAAGCUGUGCUGUGAUCAUAGGGGGUUCCUUGGAAAUUCUGUUACUCUACAAAAAGUCUGAGAUCCCUUGGACUAUAGAGUGUGUAUAGAUUAUUUACUAAACAUCUGCAGCCUUACAUUGUUGACGUGUUGUUUAAAUUCAGUUGAUAGGUUGCAUCAGGAUAGUCCCAGUUUGUGUCUGCAGUGACCUAUCCAAAUAAAGUGUUACUGAACUUCUUAACACCAGAAACAACAAAGUCUGAUGAAGCCUGAGUGAUUUCUCUCUCUGAUAUAUAUGCAAACAGACAGACAGACAGAGACAGACAGAGACAGACAGACAGGCAGGCAGACAGACACAGAGAUAGACAGACAGGCAGGCAGAUAGCUAGCUAGACAGACAGACAGACAGACAGGAAGAUAGACAGACAGGCAGGCAGAGAGACAGAAAGACAGACAGACAGGUAGACAGAGACAAAGACAGACACACAGGAAGAUAGACAGACAGGCAGGCAGAGAGACAGAAAGACAGACAGACAGGUAGACAGAGACAAAGACAGACAGACAGACAGAGCCAGGGUGAUGCUGUAAUCUAUUUCAAAAGAAGAAGCUAAA